UGGGGGCGGGGGGCGGCGGGGCAGUGAAAGCUCAUAAACAAGGUCUCUGAUCCCCGCGCGCCUCGUCAUUUCGUCUGACUCUGCAGCGCCGUACGUCAGCCGGGUGACGCUUACAGGGAUUGUAUGCUCUUCGUAGAGUAACUGGUGGCCCGAGAAGACCGGCGUAGCUUACAGGUAUUUUUCAUGAUCCGAAGUCAACCGAUUUGCAACAAGCUAAAAAAUAAAUUAGGUUGAUGCCAGUGGCCAUUGGCUGUUAUAAAGUUUCAUAAAUUUAAAAUAAGUUAAGAUAAUAGGGUGGGUUUAGUGGUGUGACGUCCGGCGCCAGCCCUACUCUCUCUAUCCACCUCUCUCUCUCUCUGACGGCAACCACUGUGGAUUGGUAUCGUUUGGCUGUCCCCAUCCCGGACGGAACUUGCCCUCUGGCUGUGCCAGUGGAAGCGGACUGCCCCGGUUGAGUUCCUCCCCCGUAGACACCUCCACGAGAAGCGGCUUCCCGCCACCUCCCUUCAUCUCGCUCUCUCUCUCUCUCACCCUCUCUCUCUCGCUCUAAUCACCGAGAAGAAGACUUCUUGCGGGGGGGUAAUCUAGCCGGGGAUUCGAGAUCUGACUUUGGCGCGGACCAAGCCCAUUAACCAUAUUUAAAUCAAGUCAUCGUAGUCUCGGAUGUGUAGUAUCGUCGACUUACUUAGUUAAUCUAUCAAAGAAAAUAUAUUGGCCACUCUCUCUCUUAGACUUUCGACGUGGAGGAUAGGCUCCGUCAAUUCUCAGCGUGCUUUCACUAUCUCUCUCUCGCUCUCACAGGUCGUCAUUCAACCUUUCCAUCACAAGUGUGUGUGUGUGAGUGGAUGUGUGAGAUGCGUUGACAAGAAUCGAGGCUGUGAUUCUCCCACAAAAGUGGACAAGGGGGUGAACUAAUAACUGCCACGCCACCGGAUCCUCCC
rnacentral:lncRNA from 1 species